GACGAACGCUGGCGGCGUGCUCAACACAUGCAAGUCGAACGGAAAGGCCCUUCGGGGUACUCGAGUGGCGAACGGGUGAGUAACACGUGGGUGAUCUGCCCUGCACUUUGGGAUAAGCCUGGGAAACUGGGUCUAAUACCGAAUAGGACCACGCGCUUCAUGGUGUGUGGUGGAAAGCUUUUGCGGUGUGGGAUGGGCCCGCGGCCUAUCAGCUUGUUGGUGGGGUAAUGGCCUACAAAGGCGACGACGGGUAGCCGGCCUGGGAGGGUGACCGGUCAAGCUGGGACUGAGAUACGGCCCAGACUCCUACGGGAGGCAGGAGUGGGGAAUAUUUCACGAGGGGCGCAAGGCUGAUUCAGCGACGCCGCGUGAAGGAUGACGGCCUUCGGGUUGUAAACCUCUUUCGCCAGGGACGAAGCGCAAGUGACGGUACCUGGAGAAGAAGGACCGGCCAACUACGUGCCAGCAGCCGCGGUAACAC
rnacentral:rRNA from 1 species